AGCAUAUCAAUAAGCGGAGGAAAAGAAACCAACAGGGAUUGCCCUAGUAACGGCGAGUGAAGCGGCAACAGCUCAAAUUUGAAAUCUGGCCCCCUCGGGGCCCGAGUUGUAAUUUGUAGAGGGUGCUUUGGCGUUGGCACCGGCCUAAGUUCCUUGGAACAGGACGUCACAGAGGGUGAGAAUCCCGUACGUGGCCGGCUGCCUACGCCGUGUAAAGCCCCUUCGACGAGUCGAGUUGUUUGGGAAUGCAGCUCUAAAUGGGAGGUAAAUUCCUUCUAAAGCUAAAUACUGGCCAGAGACCGAUAGCGCACAAGUAGAGUGAUCGAAAGAUGAAAAGCACUUUGGAAAGAGAGUCAAAAAGCACGUGAAAUUGUUGAAAGGGAAGCGCUUGCAGCCAGACUUGCCUGUAGUUGCUCACCCGGGCUCUUGCCCGGUGCACUCUUCUGCGGGCAGGCCAGCAUCAGUUUGGGCGGCCGGAUAAAGGUCCCGGGAACGUAGCUCUCUUCGGGGAGUGUUAUAGCCCGGGGCGCCAUGCGGCCAGCCCGGACUGAGGUCCGCGCAUCUGCUAGGAUGCUGGCGUAAUGGCUGUAAGCGGCCCGUCUUGAAACACGGACCAAGGAGUCUAACAUCUAUGCGAGUGUUUGGGUGUCAAGCCCGGGCGCGCAAUGAAAGUGAACGGAGGUGGGAACCCCCCCGGGGUGCACCAUCGACCGAUCCUGAUGUCUUCGGAUGGAUUUGAGUAAGAGCAUAGCUGUUGGGACCCGAAAGAUGGUGAACUAUGCCUGAAUAGGGUGAAGCCAGAGGAAACUCUGGUGGAGGCUCGCAGCGGUUCUGACGUGCAAAUCGAUCGUCAAAUUUGGGCAUAGGGGCGAAAGACUAAUCGAACUAUCUAGUAGCUGGUUCCUGCGA
rnacentral:rRNA from 1 species